rnacentral:sRNA from 1 species
UUUGAUCAGAACGGUGACGGCGUAAUCGAUGCGGCAGAACUGAAGACAGCUAUGAAAAACCUCGGGGAACCGCUCUCUGACAAGGAGCUGAACGACAUGAUGAAGCAGGCGGACAUCGACAAGGACGGCAAGAUUAACUAUGAAGAAUUUAUAAGAGUCUGGUCAAAGUCUAUGAAAUGACGGCUGAUCAGAGUGCUCUUCCCUAUAUCCCAAUCCUUGCUGGCAAAAUGGAUUCGUUUCUUCUAACCAGAUUUUUAUUCAACGCUCGGCCAGCUAAAAAAAAAUGAAGCAAAGCUGCACUGGUGCGAUGAACAAAAACCUGAAAGGUGCUUUACUAUGUGUGCCAGGACGAUUUCAAGAUCUUUAAUUUGCCAGGAAGAACGAAACUUCAUUUUUUAACUUUUUUUUUCACUGUAUCUAUAAAUUUUUAAAUACUAAUAUACAAGACACAAACUAUUUAUACACAAAAGCCUAAUGUAUACUGCGGGAGAGAGGUAUCUUAUUAAAAAUGUAUUAUUCAUAUUGUGUAAUAUAUAUGUUGUCUGUUGUACGAAUGCCACUUUGAAUCAAUAUACUACUCUGUGUCUACAAAAAUUAAUAAUUGCUAACGAAAAGUCUAAAACUAAAAAUAUCGCAAAAAUGUAACUUGUUUUAUUUCACUUUAAAGACACCCUAUGCCAUCACCACCAAAACUUAUUGAAGUAUGCCAAUCAUUUUCUAUUACUUGAAUAUCACCUUACAAGUAAGAAAAUAAUGGGUUAUUUUUCAGUAAUAUGUAAUGGCAUUUUCCAAAUGAAAAUUAAAUAUGAGUAUUUAAUGGUGAAAAGUUAAUCUACAAACAUUUAUUAAGAGCCCAUAGACUAUUGUUUGUGGUGAUUAAACUUUCUUUUUCAUCUUUUAUGCUAAAUUUUUAUCUUUUAUGAUAGCAAAAUUGGGCAGACAACAUUUUUACAGAAUUCCAUUUGAAUUGUAAUAUAUUGUUACAAGGGGAAAUUAAAUUAAUGAUUUUUUUUAUUAUAGAUAAGUAAAAAGUUAUGGAACCUGGACGGCAAGGUAAACACCAGCUGCCAAAGAGUUAAUGCUGUGUUAGCAAAAACAUGUUAACCCUUUUCGUUUCACAAUUUCUAUAUUGUUUUGUGUACAAAAAGAAACGUACGGUCGAGCAGUGUCGGUUUUAACUAUAAGCAAACAGAGCCUCAUUUUAAUUGGUGUUUAUUUUUAAACUAAGAUUUUUUUUCAUCUUAAAAGGGAUGUACAUUUUGUCUAUGAGAUUUGUUGAGGCCGCAGACGUUUACCAGGGUCCUGCCCUUUCUCACAGAUUUUCUAUUGCAGCACUGGAGCUUUAAAAAUCAAACACAACAAAAACAGCAAACAACAGACGAAUUCUGCAAAAGGUGAUUAACAGUUUGUUUACUUUAGACACCAAGCGCCAUCAUUCCUUUAACCUAUUUCUCCCCCCCCCCUAACU